ACCACAUGAUAGUUACCACACAAUGGCAUAUAUAAAUGCUAAACUGAGAGUGAAUCUGUUUGUUUGUUUUUUUUUGCUGUUGUUUAAUGGAAUAAGUAAGCAUGUUAAGUCUAAUUUUCUAUCUUCUAGUUCAGUUACAUAAUCACCUAACAUUUGACAGGAAUACCUAAAUCAUAUUUGGGGAAACCUGGUUUUAUAUGAGCAGAAUAAUUUCCCAAAGAUAUAUCAUUCAUUGUAACUUUUACAGGUUUUCUUCUUGUGUCAGAGAUUUUAAUUGCACCCUCCCAUAUUCCUUAGUAACAGAAUCUUGAUGUUAUUCCAGGCAACAAUGUAUUCAUUUCCUUGCCUUUCCUGCUAUGUGAGGCUAUGUCACUAAGUUCUGUUCAGUGAAAUGUAAGCAAAAAUUGAAUCUGAGAAAUAGCAAAUGGCUUGGCUCAUGUUAUCUUUAUUGCAGUGGUUAGAAAUCAUGACUCACUUUUUUUCCUAAUGACUAUUUUUCCUAAUGACUUUGAGGUGCAUAAGAAUAAAGCCAUGUCUUAGAAUGAUGUUCAAUAAAUAGUUGCUCACUGCCUAACUAAUCAAUAAAUGUUAGUGUACUGGGCAGGGAAGGGAAAGAGAAGAAUUAGGUUGAUGUAAUUCAUUUAUUAUCUGGAAGCUCAAUAGGGAAUGUGACAUGAAUGAAUUUAAGCAAGUCUGGGCAUAUUGGGAGACAAUUCUCCAUGUAUGUCUUGCAAAUAAAGGCAUCGAUGAUGAUCACUCUGUCUUUUCGAGGAUGUUGGUAGAGCAAACAGCUUUUGAAGAUAGAGAUGAUUUCUCUCUCUGAAGCAAAAGGUGUUUGUCUACUUUGCAGUCUAAUAAAUACAAUGUCUUCAUCUGGGGCAGACGUUGGGUUUCUUUUCUGCAGCUCUAUUAGAAACUGGGGUUUUGCCAGCAAGGGGUUGCUCAUCUAUGAUGCAAACCCAUUGUGUGUGCUGCAUCCACCUGGGAAAAUAUGAAGAUAAGGAUGCUCAUUGUGCCUUCAGUAAUAAAGUCUUUUCUCUUUGAUCUAGGAGUCCAGUGUCUUCAGCCCAUCACCUUGAAGCUGUGGGGGCUAAUAUGUUAGCUUGCAAGUGGCUUAAUAUCUCAUAGUCUUCAUUCUUGAUAAAGCUUCCCUAGUUUCUCAUGGGAGAAGGGCCUACUGGGAUUAUGGAGUCAGAGAAAGUGAUGCACAGAGUUAGUCAUUGGAAGCUGUACACAUUCUAAAUCCAGCAAUCACUGUCCUGAGUGAACAAGAAGUUCUGCAAUUACUCAGUGAUCACAAAGGUCCUCAAAGCUAACACUACUCACGAAGAUGGUGUUAGUUACAUUGGCUGACAAGCUCCAGCCAUGGACACAAUUCCUUCUAGAAGCAAAAUUUAUCUCUAGACUCCUCCUGUAUUUUAAUUUAGCCACUUUUCUAGGGCCUACAAUUUUAGAUCUCCACAGGACUCUUGAAACUUCUUGAACCUCAUCAGUAACAUGUCCAUUAGUGGCAUGACCCAAGAGUUCUAGAACAUCUAUUCAGCAAGUGUGCAUCUGAAAACUGAUCACCUCUGAUGAAUUAGAAUGGAAUGACCAAGCUUUGGGAGAGGCAAAAGAAUCUCGGUGUUAAAGACUCAGAGUUUAAGAAGCAACGAAAAGAUUAUACAGAUGUGAAUAUGUGACCUUCCUCCACCAGGGCAUGUUGCCUUGGAAAAAAAAUUUGCCUGCUCUGCUCAGGACCAUCACUCUGCCUGCCUGGGGCGGAACUGGAUUUUUUCUCCUGGAUUCUCUUCUUGUUGGGAGUGAGUGCAAAGCCUUCCAUCUAUCCCUGGCUACAAGCUGAAAGGCUGGGCACAGUUAAAAGUUUCUACUUUGCUUCAGGGUGUAAAUCUGGGUCCAUACAGGUGCUGUCCUCUGUAUGGUAGGCUACUUGAGGGACCAUGAGCUUUCUUCUCCAUUUUCUCAACUUUGGCCAGAAACACAGCCAGGUAAGAGGAAGACUGGGAGAACCAUUUGCAAUAUUUUAGAGAUAGCAUAAACGUUCCCUCAUAGGAAAGAGAAAACAACCCUGAAAAAAUUGUUAUGUAGAAAGCCAAAGAGUGAUUUUGCCCACAUAGUUCCAUCCAUAGCACAAGGUCAGUGAUAACACAUAAGAAAUUUAAACCAUGUAGCAGGAGAAAAAAUAGAAGGGAUAGGGUUUCUCUAACAAAAAGACAAAGAUUGUGGUGAUCAUAGUGCUGGAGGUGGUUGCUGUAAAUGGAGGUGUAUUGAUUAAUCCAGUUUUUAGAAAUAUGUUAAACCCAACAAGGCCAUUUGUUCUGUAAGGCAUAGGCAUCAGGGAAAGGAAAGAAGAGGGCAAAUGAAUAUUGGGAAAGCAUGUCAUCUUAGAAACCCUUAGAGAACAUGAGAACUUGAUUAAGUAGUCAGUCAACCAGAUAUUUUUAAAAAGCCUAUCAGACCCUAGGACAUUGUUAGAUACAGUGGGGAUAAAAUGUGGGCAAAACUAGCAAGUAAACCCAAACCCAAACCAACCAACCAACCAAUAAAACAAACAAAGCACCCAAACAUUGCCUCUGGUAGGGAAAGACUAAAAUCAAUUAAAAAGCAUAUGAAACCAUAAACCAUGACUUGAAUAAAUGUUAGGAAAAGGAGUUCUGUGGCACUGGGAAGGCACAGGCAAUAAGGACUCUGUCUGCAGCUGGUUAACACAAAACUCCAUUACAAACACAGGUUCCCAUGUAAACC